UUCUCUAUUAAUAAAACAGCUGUAGUAAUUUUUUCAUUGCGGUGCAAACAAAUUUUGUGAAAUUUAUUAAAAUUUAAAGAAUAUUUGUUUUUCAUAAAUAAAUAGUUUAAAUAUUAAGAAAAGUUCAUAAAAUAGUUAAUACAAAAUGAGUGAAGAGUGGCAAUCUCAAAAAUUUCGGCAAAAUGUUAUUGCCAAAAUCAAUGACAUGUUGCAAAGCACUGGCCAGGAUGGCAUUAAAAAUGCCAGUGUCAUGGAAAAUCAUAUUUUCAAGAAGUCGAAGAAUAAGGACGAGUAUUUGGGUUUGGUGGCGAAAUUGUUUAUGCAUUUUAAAGAUUUGUCACAGAGAAGACCUCAACAAGCCCCUCAACCCAAUGCCGAAAUGGGUCAACAAAAUAUGAUGCAGGACCCUUUGAAUGCUUUGCAAAAUUUGGCCAGUCAAGGCAAUCGUAAUCCCCAAAUGAUGUCUAUGCCGGGAGGACCUAAUGUUCAACAAGGUGCCGGUCCGGGAGGUCCAGUGCCGGCUUCCAAUCUCUUACAAACUUUAAAUCAACAAAGACCAGGCCAACAACAAAUGCAGCAAAUGCAAGGCAUAAGACCACAAAUGUCUAUGGGUGCUGGUGGCCCGGGACAACAACAGGGUAACAUCGUGGGCGGUGGACCGGGUCAGCAGCAAAUGAUGCCUCAAAUGGGUGGCCCUGGUGGUUUACAAAUGAAUGUAAUGGGUGGUCCUAAUGGUGGACCCAAUCAGCAAAUGGUGGGUAAUGCCCAACAAAUGGGAGGCCCCUCUGGAGGUCCGGGUGUGGGACCCGGUGGCCCGCAAGGCAUGCCUGGGCAAAUAAAUCAAAUGGGUGGCCCUAACUCAGGCGGUCCAAUGGGUCCGGGCUCUACAGGUCCCGGUGGACCUAAUCAAAUGCAAAUGAAUUCUGGUGGUCAAAUACAAGGCGGCCCUGUAGUCACCAUGAAUGUUCAGCAGCUUCCCAAUCAAAUGCAACAGCAACAAAUGCAGCAAAUGGGUAUGCAACAUCCACAGCUUAAUCAAAUGAUGAAUGCUCGCAUGAAUCAGGGUGGCCCGGUGGUAACGAUGAAUGUGGCAGGACCUAAUGCUGGAGGCAAUCAAGGUAUGCAGGGUAUACCACCAAAUAUGCAACAGAAUCAAGUUGGCGGUGUAGGCACAGGGGGACCUAUGCAUCCCAAUAAUGUGGGUAAUGCUGGACAACAAGGUCAACCAGGCGGUAUGCCGAAUACUGCGGGAUCUCAAGGCAAUCUCAACCAAAUGCUAAAUAUUCCACCGGGAAUGCAGAAAAAUCCCAACAUGACUAUGGGACAGGGUCAACAAAUGUUUAAUGUUAAUCGUGGUGUGGUAGGACAGCAACAAUUCCUACGACAAAGCCCUUCACCUUCCACAGUUUCCUCCCCUGCGGGAGGUUUAAAUGUCCAGCAGCAACAGCAAUUGCAACAGCAGGUGGUCAACAAUCAACAGCAGCAACAAUUACAACAAAACAAUCAAGCUGGUGGACCACAGGGACCACAACCCCUACCCAAUCCACAAAUGAUACCAAGUCCAGCUUUGGUGCCCUCCUCAAGUCCACAAAUGCCAGGUUUAAUGCAAAAUCCCAAUCAAAGACAACAAAUGCGUCAAUCACCAAGUGCACCACUUAAUACGCCUGGACAGGUGACCCAAAACAGUCCCUUCAAUGCUCAAGAAGAUCAGUUGUAUCGGGAGAAAUACAAACAAUUGACCAAAUACAAAGAAACCUUAAUGCGUAUGGUGGCCAAAUUUCGCAAUGAUGGCAAUAAUGCAGAGUCUUAUACAAAAAUGAGUAAAUUAUUGGAAAUUCUAAGUAAUCCCAUGAAAAGAGUGCCUUUGGAGACGCUAUUGAAAUGUGAAAAAGUUUUAGAGAAUAUGAAAAUAUCACCAUUUUGUGGACAAACAUUUGGAAAAUCUUCUAAUCCCUUAAUGGAAGUCAUCAAUACCACCCUACAAAGUCCCAUAGCCAAUCAUACUCUCUAUAGAACCUUUCGACCUAGUUUGGAAUUACUAUUUGGUACAGAUAUUUCGGCACCAGCACCACCUAAAAUGCGUCGCAUGUCGGAGAAACCCACUGUUACUUCCGAUAUAGAAAUACCACAUGUUUUGCAGGGAGAAAUAGCUCGCUUAGAUCAAAAGUUUAAAGUUACUUUAGAUCCUACCGCACAAAAUAAUAUUAAAUCUAUUAAAUUAAUAUGCUGUCUAGAUGACAAAAAGUUACCUAGUGUACCACCAGUUAGUGUUAAUAUACCAGAAGACUAUCCCUGGGCUUCUCCUGAGUGUUCUCUAAUUGAACAAGACUAUUCUGCUACUGCUUUUCUUAAGGCUGUACAGAAUGCUUUAAUGUCUCGCAUUGCUAAAUUGCCUAAAUUGUAUUCAUUAUCUCAUCUUUUGGAUACUUGGGAAAUGUCUGUACGUCAGGCCUGUUCACCAAAUGCUGUGAAGCCUGUUUGUGAAUUUACCGCCUUAUUGGGCAUGUAAUUUUCAUCUAACACAUUCAUAUUUCAUUUUGAAAACUUCCAUUUUAUGAAACAUUUUUUAUUGCUUAAGCUGCAAGUUUCUUUAGUUUUAGACUCUAUAUUAAAAUGCUCCUGAUAAAGCAAAUUGUUCUCAACAAAUUUCAACUCAAUUUACUCAAGAUUUUCAAAUAUUUAAACAAGAAUUCUUUUAAAAUUAAGGGACAACG